rnacentral:rRNA from 1 species
UACGGGGUGCAGCAGGCGCGAAAACUUUACAAUGCGGGAAACCGUGAUAAGGGAACUCCGAGUGUCCGUCAAUGCGGACUGUCCGUAUGUUUAAAAAGCAUGCGAAGAAAGGGCCGGGCAAGACCGGUGCCAGCCGCCGCGGUAAUACCGGCGGCUCGAGUGGUGGCCACUAUUACUGGGCUUAAAGCGUUCGUAGCUGGGUUGUUAGGUCUCUUGGGAAAUCUAUCGGCUUAACCGAUAGGCGUCCAAGGGAUACUGGCAAUCUAGGGACCGGGAGAGGUGAGGGGUACUUCAGGGGUAGGAGUGAAAUCCUGUAAUCCUUGGGGGACCACCUGUGGCGUAGGCGCCUCACCAGAACGGCUCCGACAGUGAGGGACGAAAGCUGGGGGAGCAAACCGGAUUAGAUACCCGGGUAGUCCCAGCCGUAAACGAUGCGCGUUAGGUGUAUCGAUGACCACGAGUCAUCGAGGUGCCGAAGGGAAACCGUGAAACGCGCCGCCUGGGAAGUACGGUCGCAAGGCUGAAACUUAAAGGAAUUGGCGGGGGAGCACCACAACAGGUGGAGCCUGCGGUUUAAUCGGACUCAACGCUGGAAAUCUCACCGGAUAAGACAGCUGAAUGAUAGCCGGGCUGAAGACUCUGCUUGACUAGCUGAGAGGAGGUGCAUGG